GUCGAACGGCAGCACGGGUGCUUGCACCUGGUGGCGAGUGGCGAACGGGUGAGUAAUACAUCGGAACAUGUCCUGUAGUGGGGGAUAGCCCGGCGAAAGCCGGAUUAAUACCGCAUACGAUCUACGGAUGAAAGCGGGGGACCUUCGGGCCUCGCGCUAUAGGGUUGGCCGAUGGCUGAUUAGCUAGUUGGUGGGGUAAAGGCCUACCAAGGCGACGAUCAGUAGCUGGUCUGAGAGGACGACCAGCCACACUGGGACUGAGACACGGCCCAGACUCCUACGGGAGGCAGCAGUGGGGAAUUUUGGACAAUGGGCGAAAGCCUGAUCCAGCAAUGCCGCGUGUGUGAAGAAGGCCUUCGGGUUGUAAAGCACUUUUGUCCGGAAAGAAAUCCUUGGCUCUAAUACAGUCGGGGGAUGACGGUACCGGAAGAAUAAGCACCGGCUAACUACGUGCCAGCAGCCGCGGUAAUACGUAGGGUGCGAGCGUUAAUCGGAAUUACUGGGCGUAAAGCGUGCGCAGGCGGUUUGCUAAGACCGAUGUGAAAUCCCCGGGCUCAACCUGGGAACUGCAUUGGUGACUGGCAGGCUAGAGUAUGGCAGAGGGGGGUAGAAUUCCACGUGUAGCAGAAAUGCGUAGAAGAUGUGGAGGAAUACCCGAUGGCGAA
rnacentral:rRNA from 1 species